rnacentral:rRNA from 1 species
UACGAAGGGGGCGAGCGUUGUUCGGAAUUACUGGGCGUAAAGGGCGCGUAGGCGGCGACCCAAGUCAGAUGUGAAAGUCCUGGGCUUAACCUGGGGACUGCAUUUGAUACUGGGUUGCUUGAAUUCGGGAGAGGAUAGCGGAAUUCCCAGUGUAGAGGUGAAAUUCGUAGAUAUUGGGAAGAACACCAGUGGCGAAGGCGGCUAUCUGGACGGUUUCUGACACUAAGACUCGAAAGCGUGGGGAGCAAACAGG